CCGCCGCGGUAAUACGAAGGAGGCUAGCGUUGCUCGGAAUUACUGGGCGUAAAGCGUGCGUAGGCGGUGAGUUAAGUCUGCUGUGAAAUCCCCGGGCUCAACCUGGGAACUGCGUUCUGAACUGGGUAGCUAGAGUAUGUCAGAGGGGGGUAGAAUUCCACGUGUAGCAGUGAAAUGCGUAGAGAUGUGGAGGAAUACCGAUGGCGAAGGCAGCCCCCUGGGAUAAUACUGACGUUCAUGCUCGAAAGCGUGGGUAGCAAACAGGAUUAGAUACCCCUGUAGUCCCUGUCUCUUAUACACA
rnacentral:rRNA from 1 species